rnacentral:rRNA from 1 species
UGGGGAAUAUUGCACAAUGGGCGCAAGCCUGAUGCAGCCAUGCCGCGUGUGUGAAGAAGGCCUUCGGGUUGUAAAGCACUUUCAGCGAGGAGGAAGGGUAGUGUGUUAAUAGCACAUUGCAUUGACGUUACUCGCAGAAGAAGCACCGGCUAACUCCGUGCCAGCAGCCGCGGUAAUACGGAGGGUGCAAGCGUUAAUCGGAAUUACUGGGCGUAAAGCGCACGCAGGCGGUUUGUUAAGUCAGAUGUGAAAUCCCCGCGCUUAACGUGGGAACUGCAUUUGAAACUGGCAAGCUAGAGGCUUGUAGAGGGGGGUAGAAUUCCAGGUGUAGCGGUGAAAUGCGUAGAGAUCUGGAGGAAUACCGGUGGCGAAGGCGGCCCCCUGGACAAAGACUGACGCUCAGGUGCGAAAGCGUGGGGAGCAAACA